rnacentral:lncRNA from 1 species
UAUUCUUUAAUACAUUCAUUCAUUCAUGUAUUUAUUCUUUAAUACAUUCAUUCAUUCAUUUAUUUAUUUUUUUAUUUUAUUUCAUUUUCAGGACACAUUUCCAUAGAGCCUUAUUAAGUGUUAAGUUAACUCACUUUACUUUGGUGUUUGCACUAAUUAUGUAAGGAAUAAAAAGAAAAAAAAAAAAGAAAAAAAAAAAAGAAAAAAAAAAAAGAAAAAAAAAAAAGAAAAAAAAUGACAAUAAUAAUGAUACUAUUAAUGUUAAUUAUAAUAACAAAAAUGAUAACAACAAAUAGUAGCGAUACUAUUUAUUUUUUAUAUGUGGACAUUUUUAUUAUAAUGCACCAUGGUUAUCUUAAUGUAACUAUACACUUUUAUAUAAUUAUAUAUUGUUUAUUAAUAUCACUUUUUUUAUUUUAUUCAUUUAUUUAUUCAUUCAUUUAUUUAUUUUAUUUUUUUUUUUUUUUAAGGUUUACACUUUCUAUUUUUAAUGCGGUCUAUACAGUAAUAACAUCUGCUAAAAAGAAAAGAAGAGAAUCUGAAUUACAAUUAUUAGUUUUUGUUGUGUUCAAUCUUGUACAAUAUUAUUUCUACACUUCAACAUUAACAUUCAGAAAUGAACCUUUGUGUGCCUUAAUAAUAGCUUUAUACUCAUCCUUUUAUACAUGCCACAUGAAUCUUGCUACAAUUUUAAAGAUAAAAAUGAAUUACCUUCCAAUACCUAUAAUAGCUUAUUAUGUUUUUAAUACACUUUUAUUUAUAAUUCGAAAAACAAACCACAAAAUGUUUAAACAUUUUCUAUUGAGUGAAAAUUAUAUAUUAUAUUACAUGUUAGGAUUUGGUUUAAUUUAUUUAAUUGACUAUUCAUAUACCAUAAUAACAAACAUUUGUAGAGAAUUAAACAUUACCUUUUUGUUUAAUAAGAGUAAAAGAGGUUAA